rnacentral:rRNA from 1 species
ACAUGCCUACAACAUAGCGUUAAUGCAUCAGAUCCCAUUAGAACUUCGUCGUUAAUCGCACUCAGGAUAGAGUAGUACUGGGAUGGGUGACCUCCUGGGAAGUCCUAGUGUUUUACAUGCC